UCUUUUACUCUUAUACAAAGCAUAUCAAUGGGCUUGCUGCAAACCUUGAUGAAAAAGAAGCAAAUGAUAUCUUGAAAGCAAAUGAGAUCUUGAGUGUUGUAUCAGUGUUCCCAAAUAGAGGUCACAAGCUUCAUACUGCUCGUUCUUGGGAAUUUCUUGGUUUUGAGAAGGAUGACAGAGCAAUGGCAAAAUCACUGUGGUUUAAGACCUAAGUUGGGAGUGUGGCCAGAAUCUGGAAGCUUUAAGGAUGAGGACAUUGGUUGUGUUCCAUCAAAGUGGAAGUGAAUUUGACAGUUGCUAGUGUUUGUUCUCAAUGUUAAGAUUGGUGUUUUUGUGUUUCAUUGCUUGAACUCAUAGUGUUAAGGAUGUUUAUUCUAAUUUGCUCUCUUAUUUUUUUUGUUUGUUGUGUCAAGGAUUGCUCGUAAUGCUAGUCCUGCGUCCAUUAUUGCAAGUCUAAAUGCUUUUGAUUCUGCAUUCACAACUCAAUCAACACUUGUACAAGAAGUGAAGACAAGGACUGAAAGUGAAAAAGUGAUGUAGUCAACUACUGGAGAGUGGUCAGAGUAUGUUCUCCAACAAAUGAUGUUAAGCAUGUUUUUGUAGUAAAAGUUUUAGUCUGAUUUGUGAUUUUAGGGCAUAAUGUUUGGUGUAGGUUUGAAUGGUUUCUAGUAUUUAUUAUCAU